AUACGGAGGGGGCUAGCGUUGUUCGGAUUUACUGGGCGUAAAGCGCACGCAGGCGGUUUUUCCAGUUAGGCGUGAAAGGCCUGGGCUCAACCCGGGAACUGCGCUUAAUACUGUUGAGCUAGAGUCCGGAAGAGGAUGGCGGAAUUCCCAGUGUAGAGGUGAAAUUCGUAGAUAUUGGGAAGAACACCAGUGGCGAAGGCGGCCAUCUGGUCCGGUACUGACGCUGAGGUGCGAAAGCGUGGGGAGCAAACAGGAUUAGAAACCCCAGUAGUCC
rnacentral:rRNA from 1 species